GUGGGGAAUAUUGGGCAAUGGGCGCAAGCCUGACCCAGCAACGCCGCGUGAGGGAAGAAGGUUUUCGGAUUGUAAACCUCUGUCGCAGAUGACGAAGGAAGUGACGGUAAUCUGUGAGGAAGCCCCGGCUAACUACGUGCCAGCAGCCGCGGUAAUACGUAGGGGGCGAGCGUUGUCCGGAAUUACUGGGCGUAAAGGGAGCGUAGGCGGUCGAUUAAGUUGGAUGUGAAAUACCCGGGCUUAACUUGGGGGGUGCAUCCAAUACUGGUUGACUAGAGUACAGGAGAGGAAAGCGGAAUUCCUAGUGUAGCGGUGAAAUGCAUAGAUAUUAGGAGGAACAUCGGUGGCGAAGGCGGCUUUCUGGACUGACACUGACGCUGAGGCUCGAAAGCGUGGGGAGCAAACAGGAUUAGAAACCCUGGUAGUCC
rnacentral:rRNA from 1 species